rnacentral:rRNA from 1 species
GACGAACGCUGGCGGCGUGCUUAACACAUGCAAGUCGAACGGUAAGGCUCCAGCUUGCUGGGGUACACGAGUGGCGAACGGGUGAGUAACACGUGGGUGACCUGCCCUGCACUUCGGGAUAAGCCUGGGAAACUGGGUCUAAUACCGGAUAGGACCAUGGUGUGGAUACUGUGGUGGAAAGUUUUUUCGGUGUGGGACGGGCCCGCGGCCUAUCAGCUUGUUGGUGGGGUAAUGGCCUACCAAGGCGGCGACGGGUAGCCGGCCUGAGAGGGUGGACGGCCACAUUGGGACUGAGACACGGCCCAGACUCCUACGGGAGGCAGCAGUGGGGAAUAUUGCACAAUGGGCGGAAGCCUGAUGCAGCGACGCCGCGUGGGGGAUGACGGCCUUCGGGUUGUAAACUCCUUUCACCAUCGACGAAGGGUUUCUGACGGUAGAUGGAGAAGAAGCACCGGCUAACUACGUG